AGCAGUGGGGAAUAUUGCACAAUGGGCGCAAGCCUGAUGCAGCCAUGCCGCGUGUAUGAAGAAGGCCUUCGGGUUGUAAAGUACUUUCAGCAGUGAGGAAGGCGGGUGCGUUAAUAGCGUAUUCGUUUGACGUUAGCUGCAGAAGAAGCACCGGCUAACUCCGUGCCAGCAGCCGCGGUAAUACGGAGGGUGCGAGCGUUAAUCGGAAUUACUGGGCGUAAAGCGCAUGCAGGUGGUUUGUUAAGUCAGAUGUGAAAGCCCCGGGGCUCAACCUCGGAAUUGCAUUUGAAACUGGCAGACUAGAGUACUGUAGAGGGGGUAGAAUUUCAGGUGUAGCGGUGAAAUGCGUAGAGAUCUGAAGGAAUACCGGUGGCGAAGGCGGCCCCCUGGACAGAUACUGACACUCAGAUGCGAAAGCGUGGGGAGCAAACAGGAUUAGAUACCCUGGUAG
rnacentral:rRNA from 1 species